rnacentral:sRNA from 1 species
GAGGACCUGCUGGAGCAAGGGUACGCCACGGCCCUCUCAGGGCACCCACUGCGCUUCAGUGAGAGAGAGGGCAGCAUAUACCUCAAUGACUUCGCGCGCGUGGUGAGCAGCGACCAUGAGGCCGUGAACGGUAUCCUGCACUUCAUUGAUCGUGUCCUGCUGCCCCCCGAGGCGCUGCACUGGGAGCCUGAUGAUGCUCCCAUCCCGAGGGUAUGACAGGCACGGGCCUGGGAGCUGGAAGACAGGCAGCUGGGGGCCUGGGAUCCUCCCUUCCCGCCUGGCCUAGCUGUUUAUGAGAGCCUUUCCUCAGAGAAAUGUCACCGCCGCCGCCCAGGGCUUUGGUUACAAGAUCUUCAGCGGCCUCCUGAAGGUGGCCGGCCUCCUGCCCCUGCUUCGAGAGGCAUCCCAUAGGCCCUUCACAAUGGUGUGGCCCACAGACGCCGCCUUUCGAGCCCUGCCUCCGGAUCGCCAGGCCUGGCUGUACCAUGAGGACCACCGUGACAAGCUAGCAGCCGUUCUGCGGGGCCACAUGAUUCGCAAUGUCGAGGUGGGUGCAGCCCCCAACCUUGGUCUUCACUGUCUGCAGCUCAGCCUGCCUCUCCACCUCCAACCAUGACUCCACUUGCUCAGGCCUUGGCAUCUGACCUGCCCAACCUGGGCCCACUUCGAACCAUGCAUGGGACCCCCAUCUCUUUCUCCUGUAGCCGAAUGCGGCCCGGUGAGCUCAUGGUGGGUGAGGAUGAUGCUCGCAUUGUGCAGCGACACUUGCCCUUUGAGGGUGGCCUGGCCUAUGGCAUCGACCAGCUGCUGGAGCCACCUGGCCUUGGUGCUCGCUGUGACCACUUUGAGACCCGGCCCCUGCGACUGAACACCUGCAGCAUCUGUGGGCUGGAGCCACCCUGUCCUGAGGGGUCACAGGAGCAGGUACAGGGCUAGGGGCUGAGUGGGGGUGGUGGGGUGGGGGCAGGCAGAGCCCAAGGACCACCAAACUCAGAACCACCCAACUGCGGCCUGACUCCUUUGGCCCAGGGCAGCCCUGAGGCCUGCUGGCGCUUCUACCCGAAGUUCUGGACGUCCCCUCCGCUGCACUCUUUGGGAUUACGCAGCGUCUGGGUCCACCCCAGCCUUUGGGGUAGGCCCCAAGGCCUGGGCAGGGGCUGCCACCGCAACUGUGUCACCACCACCUGGAAGCCCAGCUGCUGCCCUGGUCACUAUGGCAGUGAGUGCCAAGCUUGCCCUGGCGGCCCCAGCAGCCCUUGUAGUGACCGUGGCGUAUGCAUGGACGGCAUGAGUGGCAGUGGGCAGUGUCUGUGCCGUUCAGGUUUUGCUGGGACAGCCUGUGAACUCUGUGCUCCUGGUGCCUUUGGGCCCCAUUGUCAAGCCUGCCACUGCACUGUGCAUGGCCGCUGUGAUGAGGGCCUUGGGGGCUCUGGCUCCUGCUUCUGUGAUGAAGGCUGGACUGGGCCACGCUGUGAGGUGCAACUGGAGCUGCAGCCUGUGUGUACCCCACCCUGUGCACCUGAGGCUGUGUGCCGUGCAGGCAACAGCUGCGAGUGUGGCCUGGGCUAUGAAGGGGAUGGCCGCAUGUGUACAGUGGCAGACCUGUGCCAGGACGGGCAUGGCGGCUGCAGUGAGCAUGCCAACUGUAGCCAGGUAGGAACAGUGGUCACUUGUACCUGCCUGCCCGACUACGAGGGUGAUGGCUGGAGCUGCCGGGCCCGCAACCCCUGCACAGAUGGCCACCGCGGGGGCUGCAGCGAGCAUGCCGACUGCUUGAGCACCGGCCUGAACACACGGCGCUGUGAGUGCCAUGCAGGCUACGUAGGCGAUGGACUGCAGUGUCUGGAGGAGUCGGAACCACCUGUGGACCGCUGCCUGGGCCAGCCACCGCCCUGCCACUCAGAUGCCGUGUGCACUGACCUGCACUUCCAGGGUGUGUCCCCCUGCCCACUCCCAGUAUCCAUUUCAUUCCUCAGAGCCGGCCAGCUGACCGUGCACCCCUCCAUUCUGCAGAGAAACGGGCUGGCGUCUUCCACCUCCAGGCCACCAGCGGCCCUUAUGGUCUGAACUUUUCGGAGGCUGAGGUGGCAUGCGAAGCACAGGGAGCCGUCCUUGCUUCAUUCCCUCAGCUCUCUGCUGCCCAGCAGGUGUGUGGGGCCCAGAAGUGUUGGGGGAGGCCUUGACUGAGUCUUGGGUCUCAGUAUCCCCUCCUGUUCCUACAGCUGGGCUUCCACCUGUGCCUCAUGGGCUGGCUGGCCAAUGGCUCCACUGCCCACCCUGUGGUUUUCCCUGCGGCGGACUGUGGCAAUGGUCGGGUGGGCAUAGUCAGCCUGGGUGCCCGCAAGAACCUCUCGGAGCGCUGGGAUGCCUACUGCUUCCGUGUGCAAGAUGUGGCCUGCCGUUGCCGAGAUGGCUUCGUGGGUGACGGGAUCAGCAUGUGCAAUGGGAAGCUGCUGGAUGUGCUGGCUGCCACUGCCAACUUCUCCACCUUCUAUGGGAUGCUACUGGGCUAUGCCAAUGCCACCCAGCGGGGUCUCGACUUCCUGGACUUCCUGAAUGAUGAGCUCACAUAUAAGACACUCUUUGUCCCUGUCAAUGAAGGCUUUGUGGACAACAUGACGCUGAGUGGCCCAGACUUGGAGCUGCACGCCUCCAACGCCACCCUCCU